rnacentral:rRNA from 1 species
CGUGGAGACAGGUGGUGCAUGGCUGUCGUCAGCUCGUGUCGUGAGAUGUUGGGUUAAGUCCCGCAACGAGCGCAACCCUUAUCCUUAGUUGCCAUCAAUUCAGUUGGGCACUUUAAGGAGACUGCCGGUGUCAAACCGGAGGAAGGUGGGGAUGACGUCAAGUCCUCAUGGCCCUUAUGUCCAGGGCUACACACGUGCUACAAUGGUCGGUACAAAGGGUCGCAAUACCGCGAGAUGGAGCCAAUCCCAAAAAACCGCUCUCAGUUCGGAUCGGAGUCUGCAACUCGACUCCGUGAAGUUGGAAUCGCUAGUAAUCGUGGAUCAGCAUGCCACGGUGAAUACGUUCCCGGGCCUUGUACACACCGCCCGUCACACCACGAAAGUCUGCUGUACUCGAAGUCGCUGAG